rnacentral:rRNA from 1 species
UGGGGGAUAUUGCACAAUGGGGGAAACCCUGAUGCAGCGACGCCGCGUGAGUGAAGAAGUAUUUCGGUAUGUAAAGCUCUAUCAGCAGGGAAGAAAAUGACGGUACCUGACUAAGAAGCCCCGGCUAACUACGUGCC